CCUACGGGAGGCAGCAGUGAGGAAUAUUGGUCAAUGGACGAGAGUCUGAACCAGCCAAGUAGCGUGAAGGAUGACUGCCCUAUGGGUUGUAAACUUCUUUUAUAUGGGAAUAAAAUGUUCCACGUGUGGGAUUUUGUAUGUACCAUAUGAAUAAGGAUCGGCUAACUCCUUGCCAGCAGCCGCGGUAAUACGGAGGAUCCGAGCGUUAUCCGGAUUUAUUUGGUUUAACGGGAGCGUAGGUGGAUUGUUAAGUCAGUUGUGAAAGUUUGCGGCUCAACCGUAAAAUUGCAGUUGAAACUGGCAGUCUUGAGUACAGUAGAGGUGGGCGGAAUUCGUGGUGUAGCGGUGAAAUGCUUAGAUAUCACGAAGAACUCCGAUUGCGAAGGCAGCUCACUGGACUGCAACUGACACUGAGGCUCGAAAGUGUGGGUAUCAAACAGGAUUAGAUACCCUAGUAGUC
rnacentral:rRNA from 1 species